rnacentral:tRNA from 1 species
GGCCUUAUAGUUUAAUUAAAACUUUAAAUUGCAAAUUUAAGAAUACAUGUUGUUUAGGCUU